AUUAUUGGGUUUAAAGGGUCCGUAGGCGGGUCGAUAAGUCAGGGGUGAAAGUCUGCCGCUCAACGGUAGAACUGCCUUUGAUACUGUCGGUCUUGAGUUAUAGUGAAGUUGCCGGAAUAUGUAGUGUAGCGGUGAAAUGCAUAGAUAUUACAUAGAACACCGAUUGCGAAGGCAGGUGACUAACUAUAUACUGACGCUGAUGGACGAAAGCGUGGGGAGCGAACAGGAUUAGAUACCCUGGUAGUCCACGCCGUAAACGAUGGAUACUAGCUGUCCGGAACCUUGAGUUCUGGGCGGCCAAGCGAAAGUGAUAAGUAUCCCACCUGGGGAGUACGUUCGCAAGAAUGAAACUCAAAGGAAUUGACGGGGGCCCGCACAAGCGGUGGAGCAUGUGGUUUAAUUCGAUGAUACGCGAGGAACCUUACCAGGGCUUAAAUGCAUAUUGACAGGUCUAGAGAUAGAUUUUCCUUCGGGCAAUUUGCAAGGUGCUGCAUGGUUGUCGUCAGCUCGUGCCGUGAGGUGUCAGGUUAAGUCCUAUAACGAGCGCAACCCCUACCGUUAGUUGCCAGCAUGUCAUGAUGGGGACUCUAACGGGACUGCCGGUGCAAACCGUGAGGAAGGUGGGGAUGACGUCAAAUCAUCACGGCCCUUACGUCCUGGGCCACACACGUGCUACAAUGGCAGGUACAGAGAGCAGCCACGUCGCAAGGCGGAGCGAAUCUAUAAAACCUGUCACAGUUCGGAUCGGGGUCUGCAACUCGACCCCGUGAAGCUGGAAUCGCUAGUAAUCGGAUAUCAGCCAUGAUCCGGUGAAUACGUUCCCGGGCCUUGUACACACCGCCCGUCAAGCCAU
rnacentral:rRNA from 1 species